UAGCACGAGAAACAAAGGAGCUUAGAAACAAAAAGGUAAAUCUGGUGAAAGUGCUAUGGCAAAAGCACGGGAUUGAGGAAGCAACAUGGGAACCGGAAGAGACAAUGAGGAAGCAAUACCCGAAUCUCUUUACUGAUCAAGAAGUACGAAACUCGAGGUUAGACAAAGGGAAGAAUAAAGUUGAAGACUAAGUUGGUGAAUUUGGCUAUAAUUGGUACCGAGUAUUGCAAAGCUACUUCAAGGAUCCUAAAGAAGUCGGAGAUCGUCCACACUAUCAACC